GACGAACCGUGCGAACGUUGUUCGGAUUCACUGGGCUUAAAGGGUGCGUAGGCGGCUUGCCAGGUCAGGGGUGAAAUCUUUCGGCUCAACCGGAAAAGCGCUUCUGAUACCGGCGGGCUGGAGGAGGGUAGGGGCAGAUGGAACUUCCGGUGGAGCGGUGAAAUGCGUAGAUAUCGGAAGGAACGCCGGUGGCGAAAGCGAUCUGCUGGACCCUUUCUGACGCUGAGGCGCGAAAGCCAGGGGAGCAAAGCGGG
rnacentral:rRNA from 1 species